rnacentral:piRNA from 1 species
CAGGAUGUGUGGGAGACCAGUGAGGGC